GUAGGUGGCAAGCGUUGUCCGGAAUUAUUGGGCGUAAAGCGCGCGCAGGCGGUUCUUUAAGUCUGAUGUGAAAGCCCACGGGCUCAACCGUGGAGGGUCAUUGGAAACUGGAGAACUUGAGUACAGAAGAGGAAAGCGGAAUUCCACGUGUAGCGGUGAAAUGCGUAGAGAUGUGGAGGAACACCAGUGGCGAAGGCGGCUUUCUGGUCUGUAACUGACGCUGAGGCGCGAAAGCGUGGGGAGCAAACAGGAUUAGAUACCCUGGUAGUCCACGCCGUAAACGAUGAGUGCUAAGUGUUAGGGGUUUCCGCCCCUUAGUGCUGCAGCUAACGCAUUAAGCACUCCGCCUGGGGAGUACGGCCGCAAGGCUG
rnacentral:rRNA from 1 species